UACGAAGGGGGCUAGCGUUGUUCGGAAUUACUGGGCGUAAAGCGCACGUAGGCGGACAUUUAAGUCAGGGGUGAAAUCCCAGAGCUCAACUCUGGAACUGCCUUUGAUACUGGGUGUCUUGAGUAUGGAAGAGGUGAGUGGAAUUCCGAGUGUAGAGGUGAAAUGCGUAGAUAUCGAGAGGAACACCUGCGGCGAAGGCGGGUUGCUGGGCUGACACUGACGCUGAAGCGCGAAAGCUAGGGGAGCGAACGGG
rnacentral:rRNA from 1 species